GUUUAAAAGAAUGGCUAGAGUGCCAUAUUCUAAUGCUGUGGGGUCAGUUAUGUAUCUAAUGAUUUGUUCUAGACCUGAUUUGGCAUUUGCAAUAAGUGUAUUGAGUAGAUACAUGUCUAAUCCUGGUGAGGUUCAUUGGGAAGCGAUAAAGUGGCUUCUAAGAUACAUUAAGGGAACUUGUGACCUAGGAAUUGAGUAUAGAAAAUAAUCUGAGGGUGUUAUCUUGAGGGGUUUCACUGAUUCUGAUUAUGCAGGUGAUAGGGAUAACAAAAAAUCGACUUCUGCCUAUGUAUACACUUUAUGUAAUUCCUGUAUAAGUUGGAAAUCACAAUUACAAAAGAUUGUUGCAUUAUCUUCAACUGAAGCAGAAUAUAUAGCUGCUACUGAUGCAAUUAAAGAGGGAAUUUGGCUAAAAG
rnacentral:lncRNA from 1 species